CCUACGGGUGGCAGCAGUGAGGAAUAUUGGUCAAUGGACGCAAGUCUGAACCAGCCAUGCCGCGUGCAGGAAGACGGCUCUAUGAGUUGUAAACUGCUUUUGUACGAGGGUAAACGCAGAUACGCGUAUCUGUCUGAAAGUAUCGUACGAAUAAGGAUCGGCUAACUCCGUGCCAGCAGCCGCGGGAAUACGGAGGAUUCAAGCGUUAUCCGGAUUUAUUGGGUUUAAAGGGUGCGUAGGCGGUCGGAUUAGUUAGAGGGGAAAUCCCGAGGCUCAACUUCGGAAUUGCCUCUGAUACUGGUCGGCUAGAGAGUAGUAGCGGUAGGCGGAAUGUAUGGUGUAGCGGUGAAAUGCUUAGAGAUCAUACAGAACACCGAUUGCGAAGGCAGCUUACCAAGCUACUACUGACGUUGAGGCACGAAAGCGUGGGGAGCGAACAGGAUUAGAUACCCUUGUAGUC
rnacentral:rRNA from 1 species